rnacentral:tRNA from 1 species
GGGCGCCGUCGGCGACAGGAUCGGCCGCCGCCGGCUGCUGAUCGCCGGAGCCGGGGCGUUCGGCGUCGCCUCGCUGGCCGCC